CGUCUUUCGACUCCAGGACAUUCCCGAAUUCAAUUACGUCUACGACACCAUUUUUUUGGCGCAAAAACAUCAUACUCAUUACUCCCUCACUCUUCUCGACCGUUAAUGCCAUAAAUUCUCUCUCCUCCACUUCUUCCACCCAUGGCUACUCCCCUUGAUCUCUGUUCUCUUCACUAUCCAUUUUCUCUCUCCUCCAAAUUCCACCGCCAUCCAUCGAUCUCUGUCCCUCUUUCUCUCUCUCUUCUUCGUCCUCUCUUUCCUUCCAGCAAAAUUAGGGUUUUCAGUUCCAAUUUUGGGAAAGUAAAUGCUCGAACUUGCAAUCUCUGUUGUUUUUGCAAGGUGAAUUUGCAAGCCGACAAGGAUGAGAUUGUGGAGGAGAUUGAUCGUCCGUCUUUCGAUAUCAAUCUCGCGGUCAUUUUAGCUGGUUUCGCUUUUGAAGCUUAUACAACUCCUCCUGAUAAUGUUGGACGACGCGAAACUGAUGCUGCGGAUUGUAUGACGGUUUAUCUUUCGGAGAUCUUUUUUAUAUGCAGAUCGUUUGUUCGAGAAAUAUAUGAUGGACAGCUGUUCAUAAAGUUGAAGAAAGGAAAUAGUUUCCCAGCCAUGGAUCCAUGGGGAACAAGUGAUCCAUAUGUUGUUAUGGAAUUUGAUGGUCAAGUUGUGAAGAGUAAAACAAAAUGGGGGACAAAAGAUCCAACUUGGAAUGAGGAAUUUACUAUGAAUAUCAAGCUUACAUCCACUGCAUUUCUUCAGGUGGCAGCUUGGGAUGCAAAUCUCGUUACACCUCACAAGCGCAUGGGAAAUGCAGGUGUUGAUUUGGAAGCUUUAUGCGAUGGAAAUUUACAUGAGUUGCUGGUGGAAUUGGAAGGCAUGGGAGGUGGUGGAAAGAUACAACUAGAGGUCAAAUAUAGGAGCUUUGGUGAAAUUGAUGAAGAUAAAAACUGGUGGCAGAUACCAUUUGUUUCUGAAUUUCUUAGGAAAAAAGGGGUUGAUUCAGCUAUUAAAAUGCUUGCUGGAUCUGAAAGUGUGCCAGUAAGCCAAUUUGUGCAAUAUGCCUUCACGCAGUUACAAUCAUUGAAUGAAUCAUACCUUCCGAAAAACUGGUUUCCGAGUGCAGUUAAGCCUGAGACAACUGAAGAGCCAAAUGAAUCUUCUGUCGAGUCUGGUACACCAUUGUCAUCGAAUAAUAUAUGUGAAGGAUCAUUGGACAAUCGUAAAUUCAGUGAUGGAGAUGAUGGGGAGGAAUUUCCAUUAAAUGAUACUAGUGACACUACACAAUCAAACAUGGAUUAUUGGACGAGCUUUAGUGAGGCUAUUAACCAGAAUGUGGUUCAAAAAAUGGGGAUCCCUGUUCCUGAUAAAAUGAAAUGGGAUGCUUUUGACUUGAUUAAGAAUAUGGGCUUUGAGUCGAGGCAGGUGGCAGAAGCUAGCUAUAUUGAAUCAGGGCUAGCAACUCCAGAAAACAAGAAACUUAGCAAUGAUAGUGAUGCAGAAUCAGGCCCCCUUGACAUUGGCAGGAUCCAGUCUUCACUUCCUGAUAUUAGGAAGGCAACUGAAGACAUAUUGAAGCAAACUGAUUCUAUUUUCAGUGCAUUGAUGGUUUUGUCUGCUGCCAGCCCUCUGUUAAAUAAGGAUAUAUUGAAGGGAGAAAAUGCUGAAAACAAGGAAGACGGUUUAUUGAAAGAGGAUGAUAAUGUCUUAACAUCUUUGAGGAGUGAUGGGGUUGUAGGUUUGGAUGAAACGAGAGCUGAAGAGACGAGAGCCCUUUUCCUAACUGCAGAAAGUGCCAUGGAGGCUUGGGCUAUGCUCGCCACUGCGUUGGGGCAGCGAAGUUUAAUUAAAUCAGAGUUUGAGAAGAUCUGUUUCUUGGAUAAUUCAACUACAGAUACACAGGUAGCAAUUUGGCGUGAUUCCAUGAGGAAAAGAUUAGUUGUUGCAUUCAGAGGUACUGAACAAACCAGCUGGAAGGAUUUGCGGACUGAUUUAAUGCUAGCUCCUGCUGGGUUAAAUCCUGAACGAAUUGGUGGAAACUUUAAGGAUGAAGUUCAAGCUCAUAGCGGUUUUCUGAGUGCGUAUGAUUCAGUAAGGACUAGAAUUAUGUCUCUAAUCAAGAAAGCUGUUGGUUUCAUGGAUGAUGCUGAACAACCAUUGGCUAAAUGGCAUGUUUAUUGCACUGGUCAUAGUCUUGGUGGUGCCUUGGCGACUCUGCUUGCUCUCGAGCUUUCUUCAACUCAAUUGGCAAAGAGUGGGGCUAUAUCCAUCACUAUGUACAACUUUGGAUCUCCAAGAGUCGGCAAUAAAAGAUUCGCGGAAGUUUACAAUGAGAGAGUGAAAGAUAGCUGGAGGGUGGUGAAUCACAGAGACAUCAUACCCACAGUCCCUCGCUUGAUGGGCUAUUGUCAUGUAGCUCAGCCUAUUUAUCUGGCUGCUGGAGAUCAGGAUAAUGCCCUGGAAAAUGUCAAGCUCUCUGGAGAUGGCUAUCAAGGGGAUGUGAUUGGGGAAUCAACACCUGAUGUCUUAGUUAGUGAAUUUAACUAGGUGUAGGUAGCAGAGCCAAAGCUUGGAGUGGACUGAACUUCAUGCUUGAUUGCAGAAGAGGGGAAAUCAGCCACAUUAAAAUGGCCUUCUGGGGAGGUACGUUGUAUAUCCAAAAACUGCUCAGAAGCAGUCGGACAAGUGGGGAUUCUUAGGAGUGAACCAGAAAAGGUUGGGUAGAGCCGGAUCUAAGCAUUGGCUAUGAUCCCACCACUUGAAACUGAUUCAACAACAGCCAUUCUUCUUCUAAGACAAAGAAGAGCAAGAACAUCGCUUAUCCUGUGUCAAUCUUAACACCCUUGCUAGUCCUUCACAAUUUCUCUGGUGUAUGUUGAAGUGUGCUAAGAGCUGAAUUGCGCGCUUUCCAUUUGACAAUUCCUCAAGUGUUGCUUAGAUGCUGGACUGAUUAUUGGAGCCCGGUGGUGGUUCGAAAAUCAAAGUUUAUCGGAAGCUUGGUCGAAAAUUCCCGAGAAAUUGGCUUUUUAUGAUUACAUUGGCAGUAAUCCUGCGUAAGGAGGAUUAUUUAGAGCGGGCUCAAUGGACAACGGCGAUGGAAUAGCUGUUGGAUGGUUUCUAACUCAAAACUUCAAAAACAUGUAUGAAAGGUGAGAAAGAACUAGUAGACAGAAUACUGCAGACAGAGAUAAAUAUUUUCCGUGCCAUUAGAGAUGGAAGCGCAUUGAUGCAACAUAUGGAGGACUUCUACUAUAUCACACUGUUAGAG